GAGUUUGAUUAUGGCUCAGAUUGAACGCUGGCGGCAUGCUUUACACAUGCAAGUCGAACGGCAGCACGGGUGCUUGCACCUGGUGGCGAGUGGCGAACGGGUGAGUAAUGCAUUGGAACGUACCGGGUAAUGGGGGAUAACUUGCCGAAAGGUAAGCUAAUACCGCAUACGCUCUUAGGAGGAAAGCGGGGGAUCUUCGGACCUCGCGUUAUCCGAGCGGCCAAUGUCUGAUUAGCUAGUUGGUGGGGUAAAGGCCUACCAAGGCGACGAUCAGUAGCGGGUCUGAGAGGAUGAUCCGCCACACUGGGACUGAGACACGGCCCAGACUCCUACGGGAGGCAGCAGUGGGGAAUUUUGGACAAUGGGCGCAAGCCUGAUCCAGCCAUGCCGCGUGUCUGAAGAAGGCCUUCGGGUUGUAAAGGACUUUUGUACGGGAAGAAAAAGUUGUGGCUAAUACCCAUGGCUGA
rnacentral:rRNA from 1 species